rnacentral:rRNA from 1 species
CGCGCGUUCCCAUUUUGUUGGUUUCUGAGAUCGCCGUAAUGAUUAAUAGGGAUAGUUGGGGGCAUUUGUAUUCCGUCGUCAGAGGUGAAAUUCUUGGAUUGCCGGAAGACAAACUACUGCGAAAGCAUUUGCCAAGGAUGUUUUCAUUGAUCAAGAACGAAGGAAGGGGGAUCGAAAACGAUCAGAUACCGUUGUAGUCUCUUCUGUAAACUAUGCGAACUGGGGAUUAGCACAGGAUCUUAAUGACUGUGUUAGCACCCAAAGAGAAAUCUUAAGUGACGUUCGGGGGGGAGUAUGGUCGCAAGGCUGAAACUUAAAGGAAUUGACGGAAGGGCACCACCAGGUGUGGAGCCUGCGGCUUAAUUUGACUCAACACGGGGAAACUCACCAGGUCCAGA